CAGCAGCCGCGGGAACACGAAGGGUGCAAGCGUUACUCGGAAUUACUGGGCGUAAAGCGUGCGUAGGUGGUGGUUUAAGUCCGUUGUGAAAGCCCUGGGCUCAACCUGGGAAUUGCAGUGGAUACUGGGUCACUAGAGUGUGGUAGAGGAUAGUGGAAUUUCCGGUGUAGCAGUGAAAUGCGUAGAGAUCGGAAGGAACAUCUGUGGCGAAGGCGACUAUCUGGGCCAACACUGACACUGAGGCACGAAAGCGUGGGGAGCAAACAGGAUUAGAGACCCCUGUAGUCCCUGUCUCUUAUAC
rnacentral:rRNA from 1 species